rnacentral:rRNA from 1 species
CCUACGGGGGGCAGCAGUGGGGAAUAUUGGGCAAUGGGCGCAAGCCUGACCCAGCAACGCCGCGUGAAGGAAGAAGGCCCUCGGGUUGUAAACUUCUUUUGUCAGGGACGAAGAAAGUGACGGUAACUGACGAAUAAGCUACGGCUAACUUCGCGCCAGCAGCGGCGGUAAUACGUAGGUGGCAAGCGUUAUCCGGAUUUACUGGGUGGAAAGGGCGGGUAGGCGGGACUGCAAGACAGAUGUGAAAUUCCAGGGCUCAACCCUGGAACUGCAUUUGAGACUGGAGUUCUAGAGUGAUGGAGAGGCAGGCGGAAUUCCGUGUGUAGCGGUGAAAUGCGUAGAGAUACGGAAGAACACCAAUGGCGAAGGCAGCCUGCUGGACAUUAACUGACGCUGAGGCACGAAAGCGUGGGGAGCAAACAGGAUUAGAUACCCCAGUAGUC